GCAGCAGCAACAGCGGCGGCGGCGGCAGCAGCAAUAGCGGCGAGGGAAGGCGGAGCCAAGGGCAUGGCACGCAAAUCCGAGCGGCAAGCCCAGACGGCGAGAGAGGCGCGACGCGACCUCCGUUGGCCGGCUAUGUAUUUUUCAUGAAGAGACAUGUAUGUUGACUAAAUAUACAGAAUUCCAUCACACUGGAUUGCACCAUGUAAUUAUCAGAUUAGUGCUUCCUUCACUCCCAGACAUUUGUCUCUUCAGCAUUUGAAGCAUUCAAAUGUAUUAAGAGUAUGCCUAAUAAAACCAUUAUGAUCCAUUAAAAAUAU